rnacentral:tRNA from 2 species
GCGCGUGUAGUGUAAUGGAUAGCACGUAAGAUUCCGGUUCUUAAGAUGACGGUUCGAUUCCGUCCAUGCGCA